GAGACGUGGGCGGGGAAGACGGAACAUGGCUGAGAGCAGGAGGACGGAAGAAAGCCGUUUGAGUCGAGCCGUUUCUUCCUGCCCCGCCCACACCCGUCCCCACUCUGCGACCUCCCCCCUCUCCCCUUCUUGCUCUUUGGACCUGGCAAGGUGAGCCCAGCUGGCAGCAGAUGGAUGGGGUCUCGAUAUGUUGGCCAGGCUGGUCUUGAACCCUCCUGCUCCAGUGAUCCUCCCACCUCAGCCUCCUGAAUAGCUGCGAUUACAGGCUCGUGCCAGUGCGCCUGUCUCUGUCCCAUUUUAGGUGGGGAAAAUGAAGCUGGACAGAAGAUAUGUGUGGCAGACACUUGGCUGCUUGCACGAUGCAGUCAGCUUCUCCUGUUCUUCCUUGCUUGCAGAAACCCGGCUCUUUUCAGAUACUGUGAGGUUAUAUGUUCAGAGAGGAAACUUGACUGUCCGCUGUCCAAAAGUGGCACGUCCUGAUCAUCUUAUAAAGCUGCCCAGACUCGGGAAUGUUCCAUCCUGCCCUCCUGGUGGAAGACGCAAUGUGUUCCCAAGUCUUCACAGUUGCUGCAUGCGUGUCUAGGGUUCACGCCUACAACUGAGCCCAGAGCCUUCUCCCAAAACUGCAUUUAGGUGGUAUAUUGGUAGGUAUUGGGGUGGAGAAUGCAGAAUGUAAAAAGUGGAAAAUGACUGUACAUUAUUCAUUUAUUCAUUAAAUUCAACAAAUAGCAAAUGAA